UCUCACUUNUAAGGNCGGCUGCCGUUGACAAAACGGAGGAAGGUGGGGACGACGUCAAAUCAUCAUGCCCCUUAUGUCCUGGGCUACACACGUAAUACAAUGGCGGUCAACAGAGGGAUGCAAAACCGUGAGGUGGAGGCAACCCCUAAAAGCCGUCCCAGUUCAGAUUGUGGGCUGCAACCCGCCUGCGUGAAGUCGGAAUCGCUAGUAAUCGCGGAUCAGCAUGCCGCGGUGAAUACGUUCCCGGGCCUUGUACACACCGCCCGUCACACCAUGAGAGUCGGGAACACCCGAAGUCCGUAGCCUAACCGAAAGGAGGGCGCGGUCGAAGGUGGGUUCGAUAAUUGGGGUGAAGUCGUAACAGGGUAACCGUAUA
rnacentral:rRNA from 1 species